UUACGGCCUUAUCAUGUUGAAACACCAGGUUCCUCUACAAUCCCCAAAGUUAAGCAACGUCGAGCCUGAUCAGUACCUAGAUGGGUGACUGCUUGGGAAUACCAGAUGC
rnacentral:rRNA from 1 species